CUUGGUUUUUGUAGGCUAGGCUCGCUCUAGGAGUGGCCUCUUUAGGAUCAGUUAAUUUUUACCAUCCCCAUCUGGAGCUGCGGGGAGGAGGUCGGAUUCACUGGCCGGAAGGGUGGGAUAUCUCCCUUUCAUGGAACAUGAGGUGAGAAAGAGACUGUACUUCACCACUUAAAAUAUCAUGCCUGUACUUCUCUGGUGGCGCAGUGGUUAAGAAUCCUCCUGCCAAUGCAGGGGACACAGAUUUGAGCCCUGGUCUGAGAAGAUCCCGCAUGCCAUGGAGCAACUAAGGCAUGUAGAUCUGGACUAUGUAUCUUUGGUGAACUUUAUGUAACUUGUCAUUGUGUCAUUUUGAUGAAUGAUCCUUUGUCUUGAAAAUGUAUAUAACUGUAUCACAGACCUCUAACAAGCAGAACAGUCCUCAGAGUUUUCUGAAAAACUGUCUCCCAGGUUAUAGUCCUUAUGUGGCCUGAAUAAAAUUCUCUUUUUCUUCUUUA